rnacentral:rRNA from 1 species
AACGAACGCUGGCGGCAUGCCUAACACAUGCAAGUCGAACGAGACCUUCGGGUCUAGUGGCGCACGGGUGCGUAACGCGUGGGAACCUGCCCUUAGGUUCGGAAUAACUCACCGAAAGGGGUGCUAAUACCGGAUAAUGUCUUCGGACCAAAGAUUUAUCGCCUUUGGAUGGGCCCGCGUUGGAUUAGCUAGUUGGUAGGGUAAAAGCCUACCAAGGUGACGAUCCAUAGCUGGUCUGAGAGGAUGAUCAGCAACACUGGGACUGUGACACGGCCCAGACUCCUAGGGAUGGCAGUAGUGGGGAAUAUUGGACAGGGGGCGAAAACGUGAGCCAGCAAUGCCGCGUGAGUGAUGAAGGCCUUAGGGUUGUAAAGCUCUUUUACCCGGGAUGCUAAUGACAUUACCGGGAGAAUAAGCUCCGGCUAACUCCGUG